rfam:Sus scrofa isolate TJ Tabasco breed Duroc chromosome 1, whole genome shotgun sequence.
AUGGAGACAUGGCCUAAAGCCAGAGAGAGUGAGACCCAUGAACACUUGAGACUGUCACUUGAACUGAUUCACAUCUCAUUUU